rnacentral:rRNA from 1 species
UACGUAGGGUGCAAGCGUUGUCCGGAAUUAUUGGGCGUAAAGAGCUCGUAGGCGGUCUGUUGCGUCCGCUGUGAAAACUCGGGGCUUAACCCCGAGCCUGCAGUGGAUACGGGCAGACUAGAGGUAGGUAGGGGAGAAUGGAAUUCCCGGUGUAGCGGUGAAAUGCGCAGAUAUCGGGAGGAACACCGGUGGCGAAGGCGGCAUCCUGGACCGGCAUUGACGCUGAGGAGCGAAAGCCAGGGGAGCAAAGCGGG